rnacentral:rRNA from 1 species
GAUGAACGCUGGCGGCGUGCCUAAUACAUGCAAGUCGAGCGAACGGACGAGAAGCUUGCUUUUCUGAUGUUAGCGGCGGACGGGUGAGUAACACGUGGAUAACCUACCUAUAAGACUGAGAUAACUUCGGGAAACCGGAGCUAAUACCGGAUAAUAUUUUGAACCGCAUGGUUCAAAAGUGAAAGACGGUCUUGCUGUCACUUAUAGAUGGAUCCGCGCUGCAUUAGCUAGUUGGUAAGGUAACGGCUUACCAAGGCAACGAUGCAUAGCCGACCUGAGAGGGUGAUCGGCCACACUGGAACUGAGACACGGUCCAGACUCCUACGGGAGGCAGCAGUAGGGAAUCUUCCGCAAUGGUCGAAAGCCUGACGGAGCAACGCCGCGUGAGUGAUGAAGGUCUUCGGAUCGUAAAACUCUGUUAUUAGGGAAGAACAUAUGUGUAAGUAACUGUGCACAUCUUGACGGUACCUAAUCAGAAAGCCACGGCUAACUACGUG